rnacentral:rRNA from 1 species
UACGGAGGGGGCUAGCGUUGUUCGGAAUUACUGGGCGUAAAGCGCACGUAGGCGGCUUUGCAAGUCAGAGGUGAAAGCCCGGGGCUCAACCCCGGAAUUGCCUUUGAGACUGCAUCGCUAGAACGUCGGAGAGGUGAGUGGAAUUCCGAGUGUAGAGGUGAAAUUCGUAGAUAUUCGGAAGAACACCAGUGGCGAAGGCGACUCACUGGACGACUGUUGACGCUGAGGUGCGAAAGCGUGGGGGAGCAAACAGGUA